CCUACGGGCGGCAGCAGUAGGGAAUAUUGCUCAAUGGGGGAAAGCCUGAAGCAGCAACGCCGCGUGAAGGAUGAAGGUUUUCGGAUUGUAAACUCUUUUUGUUAGAGAAGAUAAUGACGGUAUCUAACGAAUAAGCACCGGCUAACUCCGUGACAGCAGCCGCGGUAAUACGGAGGGUGCAAGCGUUAAUCGGAAUCACUGGGCGUAAAGAGCGCGUAGGCGGGAUAGCAAGUCAGAUGGUAAAUCCUAGGGCUUAACCAUAGCACUGCAGUUGAAACUGUAAUUCUAGAGUAUGGGAGAGGUAGGUGGAAUGCUUGGUGUAGGGGUAAAAUCCUUAGAGAUCAAGAGGAAUACUCAUUGCGAAGGCGGCCUGCUGGAACAUAACUGACGCUGAUGCGCGAAAGCGUGGGGAGCAAACAGGAUUAGAUACCCGAGUAGUC
rnacentral:rRNA from 1 species